rnacentral:rRNA from 1 species
UUUAAUAAAUUUAAAAACGACGGGCAAUAUGUACAUAUUUUAAAAAUUAUUCAAAUUUAAUAUAUAUUAAAUUUUAAUAUUAAAUCCUAUUUAAAAAAAAUAUUACAAUUUUAAAUCCAUUAAUUUAAUUUAAUUGUAUUUCAUUUACAAUUUAAAUUAUAAUAUGCAUAUUUAUUUGAAUUAAUUUAUAAAAAAAAAUAAAAUGAAUUAAUAAUUAAUAUAUUAAUUUAAUACAACAAUAUACAAUAAAAUAAAAAUAAAUAUAUUAUAAAGUGUAAUAUCUAUUAAAUAACAAAAUCCUCUAAUUUUAUAAAAUACUGCCAUUUUAAUUAACUUUUUAAAAUAAAAUUAUAACUAUAUUUUAUUUAAUUAUUAAAAAUAAUA